AUUGAACGCUGGCGGCAGGCCUAACACAUGCAAGUCGAGCGGAUGAAGGGAGCUUGCUCCUUGAUUCAGCGGCGGACGGGUGAGUAAUGCCUAGGAAUCUGCCUAGUAGUGGGGGACAACGUUUCGAAAGGAACGCUAAUACCGCAUACGUCCUACGGGAGAAAGUGGGGGCUCUUCGGACCUUACGCUAUUAGAUGAGCCUAGGUCGGAUUAGCUAGUUGGUAGGGUAAAGGCCUACCAAGGCGACGAUCCGUAACUGGUCUGAGAGGAUGAUCAGUCACACUGGAACUGAGACACGGUCCAGACUCCUACGGGAGGCAGCAGUGGGGAAUAUUGGACAAUGGGCGCAAGCCUGAUCCAGCCAUGCCGCGUGUGUGAAGAAGGCCUUCGGGUCGUAAAGCACUUUAAGUUGGGAGGAAGGGCUUACGGUUAAUACCUGUGAGUUUUGACGUUACCAACAGAAUAAGCACCGGCUAACUUCGUGCCAGCCGCCGCGGUAA
rnacentral:rRNA from 1 species